UAUGGAUGAACUCUGCUCCGAUGGCGGGA
rnacentral:piRNA from 1 species